rnacentral:tRNA from 1 species
GGGUAUUUGGUCUAGUGGUAUGAUUCUCGCUUUGGGUGUGAGAGGUCUUGAGUUUGAUUCUUUGAAUGCCCC